GAACGCUGGCGGCGUGCUUAACACAUGCAAGUCGAACGGUGAAGGCGGAGCUUGCUCUGCUGGAUCAGUGGCGAACGGGUGAGUAACACGUGAGCAAUCUGCCCCUGACUCUGGGAUAAGCGCUGGAAACGGCGUCUAAUACUGGAUACGAGCUGCGAAGGCAUCUUCAGCAGCUGGAAAGAACUUCGGUCAGGGAUGAGCUCGCGGCCUAUCAGCUUGUUGGUGAGGUAACGGCUCACCAAGGCGUCGACGGGUAGCCGGCCUGAGAGGGUGACCGGCCACACUGGGACUGAGACACGGCCCAGACUCCUACGGGAGGCAGCAGUGGGGAAUAUUGCACAAUGGGCGAAAGCCUGAUGCAGCAACGCCGCGUGAGGGACGACGGCCUUCGGGUUGUAAACCUCUUUUAGCAGGGAAGAAGCGAAAGUGACGGUACCUGCAGAAAAAGCGCCGGCUAACUACGUG
rnacentral:rRNA from 1 species